GUUGACGUAUUCUGAAAGGAGUUACUCUUCGGACAAUAUACAAGGUGCUGCAUGGUUGUCGUCAGCUCGUGCCGUGAGGUGUCGGGUUAAGUCCCAUAACGAGCGCAACCCCUAUCAUUAGUUGCCAUCAGGUCAAGCUGGGGACUCUAAUGAAACUGCCUACGCAAGUAGUGAGGAAGGUGGGGAGUGACGUCAAAUCAGCACGGCCCUUACGUCCAGGGCUACACACGUGCUACAAUGGCCGAUACAGAGGGCAGCUACCUGGUGACAGGAUGCAAAUCUCCAAAGUCGGUCUCAGUUCGGAUCGGAGUCUGCAACCCGACUCCGUGAAGUUGGAUUCGCUAGUAAUCGCGCAUCAGCCAUGGCGCGGUGAAUACGUUCCCGGGCCUU
rnacentral:rRNA from 1 species